rnacentral:rRNA from 1 species
ACAAGUAUUGAAGGUGAUGCCUGCCCAGUGACCUAGUGUUUAACGGCCGCGGUAUCCUAACCGUGCAAAGGUAGCGCAAUCAAUUGUCCCAUAAAUCGAGACUAGUAUGAAUGGCUAAACGAGGUCUUAACUGUCUCUUACAGGCAAUCGGUGAAAUUGAUCUCCCUGUGCGAAAGCAGGGAUAACAACAUAAGACGAGAAGACCCUGUGGAACUUCAAAAUCAGCAGCCACCUCAUAUCACAUCUACACCCACCGGGUACACGCACCCAUGAGCAACUGGCCUGCAUUUUUUGGUUGGGGCGACCUUGGAGAAAAACAAAUCCUCCAAAAAUUGGACCACAAGUCUAGACUAAGAGCGACCCCUCAAAGUGCUAAUAGCAACCAGAUCCAAUACAAUUGAUCAAUGGACCAAGCUACCCCAGGGAUAACAGCGCAAUCUCCUCCGAGAGUCCGUAUCGACGGGGAGGUUUACAACCUCGAUGUUGGAUC